rnacentral:rRNA from 1 species
GGAUUGCAGGCUGCAACCCGCCUGCAUGAAGUUGGAAUCGCUAGUAAUCGCGGAUCAGCAUGCCGCGGUGAAUACGUUCCCGGGCCUUGUACACACCGCCCGUCACACCAUGAGAGUCGGGAACACCCGAAGUCCGUAGCCUGACCGCAAGGGGGGCGCGGCCGAAGGUGGGUUCGAUAAUUGGGGUGAAGUCGUAACAAGGUACC